GCCAUGGGGGCCUAGCGGUCUCGCGUCCCGCGGCCUGACCUCCCCGAACGCCGGGUCCCGUGACGUCACCUCGCCGUGACGCGCACGCUGUAGGAAAACUGAUUAAGUACACGGAUUUACCAUAUAUCCUAUGACCCUUUACUGGAGCCUAGUGAGAUAGAUUGACUCCUCUUUCUUCCUGGCUACUGUUUUGACUUCACCUCUACAAAACUGCUGCUCUGACCCAAAACAUACAGUUUGGAUUCUCUCCUGUAUUGAUAGUCCUGUCUCGACCUGAG